rnacentral:rRNA from 1 species
UUAGCCCUAAACCUAGAUAUUUAUAUACAAAAAUAUCCGCCAGAGAAUUACGAGCAAAACGCUUAAAACUCUAAGGACUUGGCGGUGCCUCAAACCCACCUAGAGGAGCCUGUUCUAUAAUCGAUAACCCACGAUCCACCUCACCAUCUCUUGCCAACCAGCCUAUAUACCACCGUCGCCAGCUUACCCUGUGAAGAUACAAAAGUAAGCAAGAUAAUAUAAACCAUUAACAAGUCAGGUCAAGGUGUAGCUAACUGAGAUGGAAGAAAUGGGCUACAUUUUCUAUACUAGAAAUAACACUCACGGAAAGGAACCAUGAAACAGUCCAGCAAGUAGGAUUUAGCAGUAAACUGGGAACAGAGAGCCCAAUUUAAACCGGUCCUGAGGCGCGC